rnacentral:rRNA from 1 species
UACGUAUGGUGCAAACGUUGUUCGGAUUCACUGGGCAUAAAGCGCGCGUAGGCGGUCCAAUAAGUCAGGUGUGAAAUCCCCCGGCUUAACCGGGGAACUGCACCUGAUACUGUUGGGCUAGAGUGCAGGAGGGGAGAGCGGAAUUCCUGGUGGAGCGGUGAAAUGCGUAGAUAUCAGGAGGAACGCCGGCGGCGAAAGCGGCUCUCUGGUCUGUAACUGACGCUGAGGCGCGAAAGCUAGGGGAGCAAACGGG